UGCAGUCGAGCGCAGGAAGCUCACGGAACUCUUCGGAGGGAAGUGAAGGGAAUGAGCGGCGGACGGGUGAGUAACACGGAAGGAACCUGCCCCAAGGAUUGGGAUAACUCCGAGAAAUCGGAGCUAAUACCGAAUAGUUCUUCAGACCGCAUGGUCUGAUGAUGAAAGGCGCUUCGGCGUCACCUUGGGAUGGCCUUGCGGUGCAUUAGCUAGUUGGUGGGGUAAUGGCCCACCAAGGCGACGAUGCAUAGCCGACCUGAGAGGGUGAUCGGCCACACUGGGACUGAGACACGGCCCAGACUCCUACGGGAGGCAGCAGUAGGGAAUCUUCCACAAUGGACGAAAGUCUGAUGGAGCAACGCCGCGUGAGUGAUGAAGGUUUUCGGAUCGUAAAACUCUGUUGUAAGGGAAGAACAAGUACGAGAGGUAAUGCUCGUACCUUGACGGUACCUUGCGAGAAAGCCACGGCUAACUACGUGCCAGCAGCC
rnacentral:rRNA from 1 species